rnacentral:rRNA from 2 species
UGCAAGUCGAACGAGAAGCUAACUUCUGAUUCCUUCGGGAUGAUGAGGUUGGCAGAAAGUGGCGAACGGGUGAGUAACGCGUGGGUAAUCUACCCUGUUAAGUGGGGGAUAACCCUCCGAAAGGAGGGCUAAUACCGCAUAAUAUCUUCUCCUCUGAAAGAGGUAAAGAUUAAAGAUGGCCUCCAUAUUAUGCUAUCGCUUCAGGAUGAGCCCGCGUCCUAUUAGUUAGUUGGUGGGGUAAUGGCCUACCAAGGCGACAAUGGGUAGCCGGUCUGAGAGGAUGUACGGCCACACUGGGACUGAGAUACGGCCCAGACUCCUACGGGAGGCAGCAGUGGGGAAUAUUGCGCAAUGGGGGAAACCCUGACGCAGCGACGCCGCGUGGAUGAUGAAGGCCCUUGGGUUGUAAAAUCCUGUUCUGGGGGAAGAAAGCUUAAAGGUCCAAUAAACCCUUAAGCCUGACGGUACCCCAAGAGAAAGCUCCGGCUAAUUAUGUGCCAGCAGCCGCGGUAAUACAUAAGGAGCAAGCGUUAUCCGGAAUUAUUGGGCGUAAAGAGCUCGUAGGCGGUCUUAAAAGUCAGUUGUGAAAUUAUCAGGCUCAACCUGAUAAGGUCACCUGAAACUUAAGACUA